rnacentral:rRNA from 1 species
AGUGAACGCUGGCGGUAGGCCUAACACAUGCAAGUCGAACGGCAGCACAGUAAGAGCUUGCUCUUACGGGUGGCGAGUGGCGGACGGGUGAGGAAUACAUCGGAAUCUACUUUUUCGUGGGGGAUAACGUAGGGAAACUUACGCUAAUACCGCAUACGACCUACGGGUGAAAGCAGGGGAUCUUCGGACCUUGCGCGAUUGAAUGAGCCGAUGUCGGAUUAGCUAGUUGGCGGGGUAAAGGCCCACCAAGGCGACGAUCCGUAGCUGGUCUGAGAGGAUGAUCAGCCACACUGGAACUGAGACACGGUCCAGACUCCUACGGGAGGCAGCAGUGUGGAAUAUUGGGCAAUGGGCGCAAGCCUGAUCCAGCCAUACCGCGUGGGUGAAGAAGGCCUUCGGGUGGUAAAGCCCUUUUGUUGGGGAAGAAAAGCAGCAGGUUAAUACCCCGCUGUUCUGACGGUACCCAAAGAAUAAGCACCGGCUAACUUCGUG